rnacentral:rRNA from 1 species
ACAAGCCUGAGAAACGGCUAGUAGGACUAAGGUCUGCAGCAGGCGCGAAACUUACACAAUGCUAGAUUACGAAAUGACAUAGCGAUGUAGUGAAGAAAAAUAACGAUGUACUUACAUUUAAACAUGUUAGUACAAUUGGAAUGAGACGACUCUAAACCAGUCAGUCGAGUAACAAAUGGAGGGCAAGUCUGGUGCCAGCAGCCGCGGUAAUUCCAGCUCCAUUAGCAUACAUUAAAGUUGUUGCGGUUAAAAAGCUCGUAGUUGAAUUUUGGACGGGCUCUAUUGGGGUGCAACCGUUAAGGUUUAUAUUAAGUUGGUUCGCCCAUUUUUUAUCAAACUGGUUGUAUUUCCCCUAUAGGAACCCGUUGUUUCGUCACUUAAUCGAGUGCGAAGCGGGCCGGUACUAUCGAAAACCUCCGGGUUUUCAAGUAACGGCAUGUUUACCUUGAGAAAAUUAGAGUGCUCACAGCAGGCAGUUGGGGUGUAAAAGCUCCUUUAUGCUUGAAUAAUGUUGCAUGGAAUAAUAGAAUACGGCCUCGGUUCUAUUCUGUUGGUCUUAUAGAACAACAAAAAAGUUGAUUAAAGCGAUCAAAAGUCCUUUUUGAGUGUGGCUUUGUGAUAUUUAAGUAAAUCAAAUCAUUCUGGUAUUGUUGUCUGGGGCCUUAAAAUCUCAGUACCUUGCUAGUUUUGAAUCUUGGUCCUUAAAUUCACCUAGUCAUUUAAAGCACUCUUAAUGUGGCUAGCUUUCUAAUCAACUGAGGCAAUGGUUAAAAGAAAUAGUCGCGGCGGCAUCAGUACUGCAUCGUGAGAGGUGAAAUUCU